rnacentral:rRNA from 1 species
CCAGCAAUGCCGCGUGUGGGAUGACAGGGCUCAGCCUUGUAAACCACUGUCGGACGGGACGAGAGGGACUUUUGGAGUCCUAGGACGGUACCGUCAAAGGAAGGGUCGGCUAACUACGUGCCAGCAGCCGCGGUAAUACGUAGGACCCGAGCGUUGUCCGGAUUUACUGGGUAUAAAGGGUGCGCAGGCGGCCGUGUGCGUCAGAGGUGAAAUUUCCGGGCUUAACCCGGAGGGUGCCUUUGAUACGGCAUGGCUUGAGUCCGAGAGAGGGUGAUGGAAUUCCUGGUGUAGCAGUGAAAUGCGUAGAUAUCAGGAGGAACACCGGUGGCGAAGGCGGUCACCUGGCUCGGAACUGACGCUCAGGCACGAAAGCGCGGGGAUCAAACAGGAUUAGAUACCCUGGUAGUCCGCGCCCUAAACGAUGUAUGCUUGGUGUUGGGUUUUUCGGAACUCAGUGCCGUAGGGAAUCCGGUAAGCAUACCACCUGG